rnacentral:rRNA from 1 species
AUUGAACGCUGGCGGCAUGCCUUACACAUGCAAGUCGAACGGUAACAGGUCUUCGGAUGCUGACGAGUGGCGAACGGGUGAGUAACACAUCGGAACGUGCCUAGUAGUGGGGGAUAACUACUCGAAAGAGUGGCUAAUACCGCAUGAGAUCUACGGAUGAAAGCAGGGGAUCGCAAGACCUUGUGCUACUAGAGCGGCCGAUGGCAGAUUAGGUAGUUGGUGGGAUAAAAGCUUACCAAGCCGACGAUCUGUAGCUGGUCUGAGAGGACGAGCAGCCACACUGGGACGGAGACACGGCCCAGACUCCUACGGGAGGCAGCAGUGGGGAAUUUUGGACAAUGGGCGCAAGCCUGAUCCAGCAAUGCCGCGUGCAGGAUGAAGGCCUUCGGGUUGUAAACUGCUUUUGUACGGAACGAAAAGCCCUGGGUUAAUACCCUGGGGUCAUGACGGUACCGUAAGAAUAAGCACCGGCUAACUACGUGCCAGCAGCCGCCGUAAUAC